rnacentral:rRNA from 1 species
AUGGAGCACCUGCGAGAGUCCAAGGAAGAAGUGGAGAUUGUAGAGGAGGAGGCCGAGAAAUCUCCUCAUGAGGCGCACAAGGGCGUUCUCUCUGAUCCAAAUCCUGCCAAAGGCAUUUCAAAUCAAGGUGGCAGAAAAGACGGAGGCAAAAUCAGGGAAACGGGGGCCCCAAUAAGUGCUUCAUUAGGUGCCAUGAGACCCCUUAUUGCAAAGCUGAACAAGAUGCUCCUAGAUCCCUCACAGGGAUGCUCCUCCAAGAGUGUCAAGGUCGGGAUGCACCUCUUCAAAGAAGAUGUUGAAAAGAUGAGCUCCUACCUUGAUGAACUGUCAGAGGUGGAGGACCCUCCCCUGACGGCCAAGUGCUGGAUGAAUGAGGCACGCGACCUCUCUUACGACAUGGAGGAUUAUAUCGACAGUUUAUUAUUUGUGCAGCCUGCAGAUCCCUCCCUAGUUGCCAAUAACAUCAAGACCACGAGAUCGCUCCUCAAAUUGCUCGGUCAUGUCAAGAAUCCCAAGAGGCUCCAGCAGCCCAAGAAGAUUAUAAAAACGGUAUCAGACUUCAGGAUAUAUGUUCAGGAGGCAAUUCAAAGACACGAUGUGUAUGUUCUGUCAGAUUCUGCUCCAUGCUCUUCCAGCAUAUUGAGGCGUAGAUCUGUGUCUGUUGGCCAUAUGUUUCCAACGCCGUAUGAAGAAACUGCUCACAUAGUGAUAAAUGGUCGGAUGAAUUUUUUUAUCAAUUCACUUGUUAACGAUGGGGACAAGAAUCUCAAGGCGGUAUCUGUUCUUGGACCUGCCUGUCUGGGUAAAACUACACUUGCUAAAGUAUUGCACGACAAACUUGGUGAGCAAUACAAUUGUCGAGCUUUCAUUCGGGUGUCAAAGAAACCUGAUAUGGAGAAAAUUUUCCUUGACAUGCUCUCGCAACUCCAGCGACUGGAUCCCCUAGAAUAUCGUAAUGAGGCUGAGCUCAUUCACAGGAUCAAGAAUUAUCUACAACCUAGAAGGUAUUUAAUUAUUAUUGAUGAUCUAUGGGAUACAUCAGUAUGGGAUAGUAUUAUCCAUGCUUUUCCAAAGGGUAGUCAUGGGAGCAGAAUAGUAACAACCACACAGAUUGAACAUGUUGCAUUAACAUGUUGCUCUUAUCAGUCAGAGAAUAUUUUUGAGAUGAAACCCAUGGAUGAUGAUCACUCAAGAAAGCUAUUCUUUAACAGACUCUUUGGCUCUGAAAGUUCUUGCCCUCCAAAGUUGAAAGAGGUUUCAAACGAAAUAGUUGAAAUAUGUGGUGGUCUGCCACUAGCAACAAUCAGCAUAGCUAGUCUUUUAGCAAGCCAGCCUUUCAUGUCACUUGAUCUAUUGACAUGCAUCUGUGAGUCAUUAAGCUCUUGUAUCUCGGCAAGUUCUACUUCAGAGAGAACUAGACAAGCACUGAAUCUGAGCUUCAACAAACUUCCCCAUUACUUGAAGACAUGUUUGCUUUAUCUCAGCAUGUAUCAAGAGGGCUACACAUUCUCCAAGGAUGAAUUAGUUAAGCAAUGGAUGGCCGAAGGGUUUAUCGAUACAACAGAAGGGCAGGAUAUGGAGGGAGUUGCAGAAAGCUAUCUCCAUCAACUUAUCAGUAGAAGAUUCAUACAGCCUAUAUGUAUCAACUAUAACAACGAGGUGUUGUCAUGUACAGUUCAGGACGUGGUACAUAAUCUUAUUGUACGCAAGUCUGCAGAAGAGGAUUUUAUUGUGGCAAUGGACUACAGCUGUCAAAAGAAUACAUCACUUUCUCAUAAGGCCCGCCGACUCUCUAUCGUCUUUGGUGAUGCAAGAUAUGCCAAGACACCAGCAAACAUCAGAAAAUCACAAGUUCGGUCAGUUAGAUUUUCUGGAUUGUUCGAGUCUAUCCCCUGUAUUACAGAGUUCAAGCUUGUUCGUGUUCUAAACCUCCAACUAUCUGGUUAUGGCCGCUGCAACAAUAACAAGGUCGACCUCACUGGGAUUUCAGAAUUGUUUCAACUGAGAUAUUUGAAGAUUGCAGGCGAUGUCUGCAUAAAACUGCCAAACCAUGGGCUACAGUGUUUGGAAACACUAGAUAUUACUGAUGCAAUACUCGUUGUUGUUUCACGGGUUACUGAUCUCCUACACCUGUUGCACCUCAGUCUUUCUGUUGACACAUGGUUCUCGAAUAUGGAUAUGUUUGACAAGCUGAAAUACCUGCAGGAUCUUCGUCUUACCACUUCUUCGGAAGUAACAUCUGGCGAUCUGGAGAGAAGCAUUGUACGUUUGUUUGCUUCAAUAUCAGGAUACCCCAACCUGAAAACUAUAGUAGUGUCUCAUGGCUCCUCGGUUAAAAAUAUUAGGGAUAAUGGCACUUCAAAAGUAACCAUUUCAAAUACCGUGGAUCGCAUGGCACCUCCUCAACUUCUCCAUAGAUUUGAAUUCUCACCGCAUAGCCGCAUCAUGUUUUCCCAAAUCCCAGAGUGGUUCAAAACAUUUGGCAGCCUAUGUAUUUUGAAGAUUGAACUUCAGAUACUCACGAUAUAUUGUGUUGGUAUUCUCAGAGGACUGCCUGCCCUCACUGCUAUGUCGCUGUACGUGGAGACAGCUCCAGUUGACAAGAUCAUAUUUGGCAUGGCGGGGUUUUCAGUUCUCAAGUAUUUUAGGUUGAGUUUCAUUAAUGGUAUAUCUUGGCUAAAAUUUGAGGAAGAUUCAUUGCCUAAUCUCUUGAAGCUCAAGCUAGUUUUCAACACGAUCCUCCAAAUCGACCAAUAUGAACAUGGUAUUAUCAACAUCGACCAUAUGCCAGCCGUUAGAGAGAUCUCUGUGAAAUUCGGUGGUGCAGCUGCUGAUCGAGAGUAUGCCUUGACGACCUUCGUUAGAAAUCAUUCGAGCAAUCCUACAAUCAACAUACCAUUGGUGGAUUAUAGUUUCGAUGUUGACGAAGGCACAAAACUGAAGCAACACCAGCAUGAGAUUAUGGAGGAAAAACCAGACGAAUCUUGCAAGAAACAACUAGAUGAGACGAUUCUGCAGGAUGAAUCAGAUAAAUCAUACAUACAACAACCAGAUAAGAUUGUGAAGGAAGAACCAGAUAAGAUUGUGGAGCAAGAACCUGAUGGAUCAUAUAAACAACAACCAGAUAAGACAGUGGAGGAAGAACCAAAUGACUGCCACGAAGAACCAGAUAUGCAGCAAAAAACAAACGAAUAUGACAAGACACUGGAGAUACCUGAUGAUAAAAGGUCACCGGAGUAUCCGCGUGCUUUCACACCGGACGAGAUCCUAUCCGCCACCCUUUAUUUCUCGAAGAACAACUUCCUCGGUGGUACCACCUACAAGGGCACUGUCGACGGCGAGCUCAUGGUAGCCGUCAGCAAAUUCACCUCCAACAGCUCACUGCUGCAGUGGGCUACUGAUGAACGAACUAGUCCUCAUCUGGUGAAAAAGCUGGGUUACUGCGACCAAGGCUAUAUAGUCCACGAGUACAUGCCCAGGGGCAGCCUCCAGUACCUCCUCUCGGAGACCAAUCUCAUUGCGUCGUUACCUUGGUUAACACGGCUCAAGAUUGCCAUCGGGGCAGGUAAAGGGCUGGCCUUUGUGCAUCAGUCAGGCGAAAGAUUGACACAGGAUUUCGAUAGUUCGAUCAUUCUACUCGACUCGGAUUGCACGGCAAAGCUGUGGGGUUUUGACAUCCAUAGUUCGCAGUUCUGCACUGCGGAAAAUCACGUGUACGACUUCGGUGUCGUGCUCCUAGAGCUGCUGACUGGGCGGCUGCACAUCGACAGGCAGCCAAUUGGCCCGGAAGAAAAUCUGGUGGAGUGGACGCGUCCCUACCUGCGCCGUGAGGACAAGUUGCACCGUAUCAUGGACCCGAAACUGGAGGGGCAAUACUCAUUUUCGGCAGCGUGGAUCACAGCCAAGAUCGCGAACCGGUGCCUGCAUGACAAGGCUCGGCGGCCAAGCAUGCGCGAGGUCGUGGACAUCCUUGAGCCGCUACUCACUGAUGACCGUAUCGGCGGGCGACAGUCAAAGAAAACUAAUAUGUUACCCUCCGCCCGUCCAAGAAGCAGCCGAUAG